AAGCUUCAUUACUGUCUGAGAAAAUAAUUUUUUCUCAACCCUCUCUUAAAUGGGGUGACCCUUUGCUAAGUUCUUUACCUCAGGAUUGCCCUGAUAAUAACUGACAUUAUAGGAAUGAAUUGUUUAAAAAGUGACAAACUAGAUCUCUGCAGGUUUGAGAAAGAUUUCCAGGGAACCCAUAAGAGGGCUGCUAAUUUGGGAAAUUCAUGCAACUGUAUUAAUGGCUGCUCACCUGCUUGAUCAAAGUGCCACAUUUUAUUGGAACAUAAAAUAGGGAGCCGAAGUAAACUGUAUAAUCCAAGCCUCAUUGACCAUUCAAUACGUUCAGAGUGAAUCUUUCAUCGGAACUCCAUUUCUCCUACCUUUCCCAUGUCCAUGGAUUGUUUCUGUAAGAGAUCAAAAAUUUGUAUAUC